rnacentral:rRNA from 1 species
GAUGAACGCUGGCGGCGUGCCUAAUACAUGCAAGUCGAGCGAACGGACGAGAAGCUUGCUUCUCUGAUGUUAGCGGCGGACGGGUGAGUAACACGUGGAUAACCUACCUAUAAGACUGGGAUAACUUCGGGAAAACGGAGCUAAUACCGGAUAAUAUUUUGAACCGCAUGGUUCAAAAGUGAAAGACGGUCUUGCUGUCACUUAUAGCUGGAUCCGCGCUGCAUUAGCUAGUUGGUAAGGUAACGGCUUACCAAGGCAACGAUGCAUAGCCGACCUGAGAGGAUGAUCGGCCACACUGGAACUGAGACACGGUCCAGACUCCUACGGGAGGCAGCAGUAGGGAAUCUUCCGCAAUGGGCGAAAGCCUGACGCAGCAACGCCGCGUGAGUGAUGAAGGUCUUCGGAUCGUAAAACUCUGUUAUUAGGGAAGAACAUAUGUGUAAGUAACUGUGCACAUCUUGACGGUACCUAAUCAGAAAGCCACGGCUAACUACGUG